rnacentral:rRNA from 1 species
CACGUAGGGGGCAAGCGUUGUCCGGAAUCAUUGGGCGUAAAGCGCGCGUAGGCGGCCCGGUAAGUCCGUUGUGAAAGUCAAAGGCUCAACCUUUGAAUGCCGAUGGAUACUGCCGGGCUAGAGUCCGGAAGAGGCGAGUGGAAUUCCUGGUGUAGCGGUGGAAUGCGCAGAUAUCAGGAGGAACACCAAUAGCGAAGGCAGCUCGCUGGGACGGUACUGACGCUGAGGAGCGAAAGCGUGGGGAGCGAACAGG